UGGCUCAGGAUGAACGCUGGCGGCGUGCUUAACACAUGCAAGUCGAACGAUGAUCCGGUGCUUGCACCGGGGAUUAGUGGCGAACGGGUGAGUAACACGUGAGUAACCUGCCCUUAACUCUGGGAUAAGCCUGGGAAACUGGGUCUAAUACCGGAUAUGACUCCUCAUCGCAUGGUGGGGGGUGGAAAGCUUUUUGUGGUUUUGGAUGGACUCGCGGCCUAUCAGCUUGUUGGUGAGGUAAUGGCUUACCAAGGCGACGACGGGUAGCCGGCCUGAGAGGGUGACCGGCCACACUGGGACUGAGACACGGCCCAGACUCCUACGGGAGGCAGCAGUGGGGAAUAUUGCACAAUGGGCGCAAKCCUGAUGCAGCGACGCCGCGUGAGGGAUGACGGCCUUCGGGUUGUAAACCUCUUUCAGUAGGGAAGAAGCGAAAGU
rnacentral:rRNA from 1 species